rnacentral:lncRNA from 1 species
AGAAAGUUUCAAGUGAGACCUCAAUCUAAAAAAAGAAGUAUCCGAGGAUACUUCAAAGCUAAAAAUUAUCGAUUCAUGUUUUGACCGCAUCUAAAAAAAGAUACAAGACCGCAUCUGAAAAGAUACAGGCUUGUCGUGUCGCAUCUCUCAUCACGUCGUCGCUUGUCUCGUCAUCCUCUAGUAGCCCUGUUCAAGAUCCAGAUGAAGAGGAGACAGAGUAACGAGAAAAAUUUCCAUCGAUAGAGAAGGGAAGCAUUAACAAAAAUCACAAAUGUUGCCUUCAUCCAACCGGAUCUACACAGUCAACUGGAUCCACCAGUGUAGGACAAGCCCCUACUCGCCAUCCAUGGAGAGGGGAGGUGGGAGAGCGCCGUCCCUGGUGGGGGCAGAAGAGGCCGACGCCGUUGCAGUGGGGAGGGGAAGGUCGAAGUCGCCACAUCCGUCGAUACGGGGAGGCCAUGCCGCCGCCGAGGACCGCCGAGCGCACGGUCCUGGCCACGCCACCGCCAAGGGCCGCCGGGCACGUUGGACUGGCCGUGCCUCCACGGAAGGUCGCCUAGGCCCCACGCCACCUGUGGAUUGAAGAUGAACGCAAGGCGCGACCAUAGUGAAACCGCCGCUGCUUUCCUAUGCUUGCG